AUACGGAGGAUCCGAGCGUUAUCCGGAUUUAUUGGGUUUAAAGGGUGCGCAGGCGGCCAUUUAAGUCAGCGGUUAAAUCGUGGGGCUCAACCCCAUUCUGCCGUUGAUACUGGGUGGCUUGAUUGCGGUCGAGGUUGGCGGAAUUCGUUGUGUAGCGGUGAAAUGCAUAGAUAUGACGAAGAACACCGAUUGCGUAGGCAGCUGACCAGACCGCAAAUGACGCUCAUGCACGAAAGUGCGGGGAUCGAACAGGAUUAGAUACCCUGGUAGUCCGCACAGUAAACGAUGAAUACUUGUUUUCGGCGAUAUAAUGUCGGAGGCAAAGCGAAAGCGAUAAGUAUUCCACCUGGGGAGUACGCCGACAACGGUGAAACUCAAAUGAAUUGGCGGGG
rnacentral:rRNA from 1 species